rnacentral:ncRNA from 1 species
UAUGGCCGGUGCAGGGGUACGGCUUAGCAACCUUAACCUGUUUCUGGCGCAGGGGAUAGACGAGCUUCACAGCUCGGCGGGCAUCCAUGUAGCCUCUCCCAUGCGUUAUCGCAAUACCGGCGUCUCGAUGUCAUCGGACGCAAGCGCCGACGAAUACUCCCGUUACCAGGUGGAUGGCGACGUGGUAGCCGCCAUGAAGGCGGCGCUUUCGUAAGCGAAGAUUUUUGCCCUCAGUUUUUACCGCACAUCAUGUCGCCCAAUAUGAUGCUUGCUCGUACCAGGCCCCGGUCUUUUGCCGGGGCUUUUUUU